UGAGUUUAUAUAUUCACAUUAUAUAUGACCUGGUGAGUUUAUAUAUUAUAUUAUAUAUGACCUGGUGAGUUUAUAUAUUAUUUAUGACCUGGUGAGUUUAUAUAUUCACUUUAUAUUAUAUAUGACCUGGUGAGUUUAUAUAUUCACAUUAUAUAUGACCUAGUGAGUUUAUAUAUUCACAUGAUAUAUAAUAGGGACUGGUAGCAGCCAGUGACUACAGUUAGGUCUUGGGGGUUGGUUAAUAGGGACUGGUAGCAGCCAGGGACUACAGUUAGGUCUUGGGGGUUGGUUAAUAGGGACUGAUAGCAGGGACUACAGUUGGGUCUUGGGGGUUGGAUAAUAGGGACUGGUAGCAGCCAGGGACUACAGUUAGGUCUUGGGGGUUGGUUAAUAGGGACUGGUAGCAACCAGGGACUACAAUUAGGUCUUGGGGGUUGGUUAAUAGGGACUGGUAGCAGCCAGGGACUACAGUUAGGUCUUGGGGGUUGGAUAAUAGGGACUGGUAGCAGCCAGGGACUACAGUUAGGUCUUGGGGGUUGGUUAAUAGGGACUGGUAGCAGCCAGGGACUACAGUUAGGUCUUGGGGGUUGGUUAAUAGGGACUGGUAGCAGCCAGGGACUACAGUUAUGUCUUGGGGGUUGGUUAAUAGGGACUGGUAGCAGCCGGGGACUACAGUUAGGUCUUGGGGGUUGGUUAAUAGGGACUGGUAGCAGCCAGGGACUACAGUUAGGUCUUGGGGGUUGGUUAAUAGGGACUGGUAGCAGCCAGGGACUACAGUUAGGUCUUGGGGGUUGGUUAAUAGGGACUGGUAGCAGCCAGGGACUACAGUUAGGUCUUGGGGGUUGGUUAAUAGGGACUGGUAGCAGCCAGGGACUACAGUUAGGUCUUGGGGGUUGGUUAAUAGGGACUGGUAGCAGCCAGGGACUACAGUUAGGUCUUGGGGGGUUGGUUAAUAGGGACUGGUAGCAGCCAGGGACUACAGUUAGGUCUUGGGGGUUGGUUAAUAGGGACUGGUAGCAGCCAGGGACUACAGUUAGGUCUUGGGGGUUGGUUAAUAGGGACUGGUAGCAGCCAGGACUACAGUUAGGUCUUGGGGGUUGGUUAAUAGGGACUGGUAGCAGCCAGGGACUACAGUUAGGUCUUGGGGGUUGGUUAACAGGGACUGGUAGCAGCCAGGGACUACAGUUAGGUCUUGGGGGUUGGUUAAUAGGGACUGGUAGCAGCCAGGGACUACAGUUAGGUCUUGGGGGUUGGUUAAUAGGGACUGUUAGCAGCCAGGGACUACAGUUAGGUCUUGGGGUUGGUUAAUAGGGACUGGUAGCAGCCAGGGACUACAGUUAGGUCUUGGGGGUUGGUUAAUAGGGACUGAUAGCAGCCAGGGACUACAGUUAGGUCUUGGGGGUUGGUUAAUAGGGACUGGUAGCAGCCAGGGACUACAGUUAGGUCUUGGGGGUUGGAUAAUAGGGACUGGUAGCAGCCAGGGACUACAGUUAGGUCUUGGGGGUUGGUUAAUAGGGACUGAUAGCAGC
rnacentral:lncRNA from 1 species